rnacentral:rRNA from 1 species
ACACAUGCAAGUCGAGCGGAAAGGCCCUUCGGGGUACUCGAGCGGCGAACGGGUGAGUAACACGUGAGCAACCUGCCCCAGGCUUUGGGAUAACCCCGGGAAACCGGGGCUAAUACCGAAUAUGACCUCCGAUCGCAUGGUUGGUGGUGGAAAGUUUUUCGGCUUGGGAUGGGCUCGCGGCCUAUCAGCUUGUUGGUGGGGUGAUGGCCUACCAAGGCGACGACGGGUAGCCGGCCUGAGAGGGCGACCGGCCACACUGGGACUGAGACACGGCCCAGACUCCUACGGGAGGCAGCAGUGGGGAAUAUUGCACAAUGGGCGGAAGCCUGAUGCAGCGACGCCGCGUGAGGGAUGACGGCCUUCGGGUUGUAAACCUCUUUCAGCAGGGACGAAGCGUAAGUGACGGUACCUGCAGAAGAAGCGCCGGCCAACUACGUGCCAGCAGC